rnacentral:rRNA from 1 species
CCUACGGGAGGCAGCAGUAGGGAAUCUUCCACAAUGGGCGAAAGCCUGAUGGAGCAACGCCGCGUGAGUGAUGAAGGCCUUCGGGUUGUAAAACUCUGUCAUUCGGGACGAACCGGAGUCUGAGGAAAUGCAGACUCUCUGACGGUACCGGAGGAGGAAGCCCCGGCUAACUACGUGCCAGCAGCCGCGGUAAUACGUAGGGGGCAAGCGUUGUCCGGAUUCACUGGGCGUAAAGCGCGCGCAGGCGGUGAUGUAAGUCUGAGGUGAAAACCCGAAGCUCAACUUCGGGACUGCCUUGGAUACUGCGUCACUUGAGGAUAGGAGAGGCAAGGGGAAUUCCACGUGUAGCGGUGAAAUGCGUAGAGAUGUGGAGGAACACCUGUGGCGAAGGCGCCUUGCUGGCCUAUUUCUGACGCUGAGGCGCGAAAGCGUGGGGAGCAAACAGGAUUAGAUACCCUGGUAGUCCACGCUGUAAACGAUGAGUGCUAGGUGUAGGUGGGCUCAUACCCAUCGUGUGCCGAAGCUAACGCAUUAAGCACUCCGCCUGGGGAGUACGGUCGCGAAGACUGAAACUCGAAAUGAAUUGACG